rnacentral:rRNA from 1 species
AUGAAUGAACCACCGGGAGCUCGUAUGAGAGUUGGUUUAACUGCCCUAACUAUGGUGGAAUAUUUCCCAAAUGUUAAUAAGCAAGACAUGCUUUUAUUUAUCGAUAAUAUCUUUCGUUUUGUUCAAGCAGGAUCAGAGGUAUCCGCUUUAUUAGGGAGAAUGCCCUCCGCAGUGGGUUAUCAACCUACUCUUAGUACAGAAAUGGGUUCUUUGCAAGAAAGAAUUGCUUCUACUAAAAAGGGAUCUAACUUCGAUUCAAGCAGUUUAUGUAUCUACAGACGAUUUGACCGACCCUGCCCCUGCCACAACAUUUGCACAUUUGGAUGCUACUACCGUACUUUCCAGAGGAUUAGCUUCCAAGGGUAUUUAUCCAGCAGUAGAUCCUUUAGAUUCAACCUCGACUAUGCUACAGCCUCGGAUCGUUGGCAACGAACAUUAUGA